GGGGCUAUAGCUCAGCUGGGAGAGCGUUACACUGGCAGUGUAGAGGUCAGGGGUUCGAGCCCCCUUAGCUCCACCA
rnacentral:tRNA from 1 species